CCCCCCCUCGAUGAGCUCUGGCAACCUUACUCACCGGCAGGAACACAACACUAUGAGUAGGGUCUAGUGUUAUUUGGCUGCGGUUUUCUGUAAGGUGGAGGUACUUCCCCAGUUGGGCUCUGCUCUAGAUCUGGAAUGAAAUGUAAAAUAACUUUGCUCUCGUGUGACACAUACAACUUUUCACCUACUGAGGUGACAAAUACGAGAGUAUGAGAGUGAAAAGACAGUAACAGAACAUUUUGAGUUGUUUCCUCAUGUUGGCUGGUGGGAGUUAUGAUUUUGAAUAAAUAUUUAAUAGCAUU